rfam:Capsella rubella cultivar Monte Gargano unplaced genomic scaffold scaffold_9, whole genome shotgun sequence.
AAGCCAUGAGGAUGGCCUUGAGACUGAUAAUGUUUGAAAAGCUCCCAAGUCUCGUAGAAAGUUUCAGCAUUCUAUUGAGUAAACCUAGAGAUCUCGUUUGACAAACAU